AGAGUUUGAUCAUGGCUCAGAUUGAACGCUGGCGGUAACUUUUAAACAUGCAAGUCGAGCGGUAACAGACAUAAAGAUUCAGCUUGCUGAGUCCGGUGCUGACGAGCGGCGAACGGGUGAGUAACGCGUAGGAAUCUACCCAGUAGCGGGGGAUAGCCCGAGGAAACUCGGAUUAAUACCGCAUACGCCCUGAGGGGGAAAGGGGGCAGUUUACUGCUCUCACUAUUGGAUGAGCCUGCGUAAGAUUAGCUUGUUGGUAGGGUAAUGGCCUACCAAGGCAACGAUCUUUAGCUGGUCUGAGAGGACGAUCAGCCACAUUGGGACUGAGACACGGCCCAGACAUCUACGGAUGGCAGCAGUUAAGAAUAUUGGACAAUGGGGGCAACCCUGAUCCAGGUAUACCGCGUGUGUGAAGAAGGCCCUAGGGUUGUAAAGCACUUUAAUCAGAGAAGAAGCAUUUUAAAUUAAUACCUUAAAAUGUUGACGUUACCUGAAGAAUAAGGACCGGCUAACUCCGUGCCAGCAGCCGCGGUAAUACGGAGGGUCCAAGCGUUAAUCGGAAUUACUGGGCGUAAAGCGCGCGUAGGCGGUUUAGCAAGUUGUAUGUGAAAGCCCUGGGCUCAACCUAGGAACUGCAUCCAAAACUACUAAGCUAGAGUACGAGAGAGGAGAGUAGAAUU
rnacentral:rRNA from 1 species